rnacentral:rRNA from 1 species
UGGCGGCGUGCUUAACACAUGCAAGUCGAACGAUGAUCCCAGCUUGCUGGGGGAUUAGUGGCGAACGGGUGAGUAACACGUGAGUAACCUGCCCUUGACUCUGGGAUAAGCCUGGGAAACUGGGUCUAAUACCGGAUACGACCAUCUGGCGCAUGUCAUGGUGGUGGAAAGCUUUUGUGGUUUUGGAUGGACUCGCGGCCUAUCAGCUUGUUGGUGGGGUAAUGGCCUACCAAGGCGACGACGGGUAGCCGGCCUGAGAGGGUGACCGGCCACACUGGGACUGAGACACGGCCCAGACUCCUACGGGAGGCAGCAGUGGGGAAUAUUGCACAAUGGGCGCAAGCCUGAUGCAGCGACGCCGCGUGAGGGAUGACGGCCUUCGGGUUGUAAACCUCUUUCAGUAGGGAAGAAGCCGUAAGGUGACGGUACCUGCAGAAGAAGCGCCGGCUAACUACGUGCCAGCAGCCGCGGUAAUACGUAGGGCGCAAGCGUUAUCCGGAAUUAUUGGGCGUAAAGAGCUCGUAGGCGGUUUGUCGCGUCUGCUGUGAAAGACCGGGGCUCAACUCCGGUUCUGCAGUGGGUACGGGCAGACUAGAGUGCAGUAGGGGAGACUGGAAUUCCUGGUGUAGCGGUGAAAUGCGCAGAUAUCAGGAGGAACACCGAUGGCGAAGGCAGGUCUCUGGGCUGUAACUGACGCUGAGGAGCGAAAGCAUGGGGAGCGAACAGGAUUAGAUACCCUGGUAGUCCAUGCCGUAAACGUUGGGCACUAGGUGUGGGGGACAUUCCACGUUUUCCGCGCCGUAGCUAACGCAUUAAGUGCCCCGCCUGGGGAGUACGGCCGCAAGGCUAAAACUCAAAGGAAUUGACGGGGGCCCGCACAAGCGGCGGAGCAUGCGGAUUAAUUCGAUGCAACGCGAAGAACCUU